CGUCAGCUCGUGUCGUGAGAUGUUGGGUUAAGUCCCGCAACGAGCGCAACCCUACGUUUAGUUGCUAACGCGUGAAGGCGAGCACUCUAGACGAACUGCCGUUGACAAACGGAGGAAGUGGGAUGACGUCAAAUCAUCAUGCCCCUUAUGUUCUGGGCUACACACGUGCUACAAUGGCCGGUACAGACGGAGGCGAAGCCGCGAGGCGGAGCAAAUCCGAAAAAGCCGGUCUCAGUUCGGAUUGCAGGCUGCAAUUCGCCUGCAUGAAGUCGGAAUCGCUAGUAAUCGCAGGUCAGCAUACUGCGGUGAAUACGUUCCCGGGCCUU
rnacentral:rRNA from 1 species